rnacentral:lncRNA from 1 species
GCAGGGUGGGGACCCCUCGCUGGUCAGGGCUGCAGGGUGAAAACACUCGCUGAGGUGCUGGAUGGGUCUGGAGUGCAGGAGCCAGGUCCCACCAGUCCGUGCAGCACUGAGGGUGCCAGGGACGGGGCUGUGAUCCACAAGCCCUCCGUGUGGCCAGGCUGUGCCUGGUGAGGCAGGAGCAGAAACCCUCAGGCCUUGCUGGGGCUGCGCCCGAGUUUCAGUGAGCUCCGUUGCUGGGCGAAGCACAUCCGCGAUGCUAGUUCACACACACACACACACACACACACACGUUCUGCCAGCGUGCAUUUUACUGACACUUUUCUGCUUUCUAACAGCAAAACCGAACCCCCCCAGUGACCCAUCCCUCCCCCUUGUGCCCGACCAGCAGCAGGCAGAGGGCAGCUGGCCCGGGGUGGGAGGCCUUGAGGCCUGCGCAUCUGCACACCCGGCCCGCGGCACGGAGAGAAACGUGUCCCUGGGGAGCUGUGCAGAAGGUCCAGGGUCCUGGGAAACGCAGAAGACAGCGCAUCUCACGGUGCCACCACGGCCCCGGAGGACAGGCCCUGGCAGUACCCCUCCGUUGCCUGAGAAGGGAGCUUAGGCCCCAGUCCUUCUGCCCAGUACCCACUCUGCCCCUGCUGGCACCCUCUAGGCGCCAUCCGGGCACUGGGGUCGAGCAAGCCCUCCUGGGAGCUGCCAAAAGGAACAUGGGAUGGAGACACCUUGGUGGGCAGGAGCCCUGUGCCCUGUGCUGUGUCCCCCGUAAUCUGACCCCUCUGUACAGCAAGCAGCCACCUCUCCCUCAGAUGGCACGGCACAUGGCACUGUCACUGUGAUUUCAUCGGUGGCUUCAAUUAUGGGACCAACAAGAAUGAGUGUUGAGCUGGGUGUGGUGGCGCACGCCUGUCAUCCCAGCACUCAGGAGGCUGAGGCAGGAGGAUUGCCACUAGAGUUCGAGGCCAGCGUGGCCUACACAGACAGAAUGUCGGGGUGCUGGACAGUGGGUGGGAGGAAUGGUCUUUGGGUCUGGGAGAUUCAGGCUCAGAUCUACGCUUUGUGAGCUCCAGCACGUUAUUUAGGUCUCAGCCUCAUCUUGCCCCGACUACAUGGGUUCGGGACUCUUACCCCUGGCCUCCUGUACCCGUGAGGGUCAGGGCAGAGAAGAGGCCAGUGAUUCACGGGCACCGGGCACCUCUGGCAUUGAGACAGCCUGCAUGGUGCCCUAUGGAAAAUGGCACCAGAACAGCUUCCCCGAUACCAAGCAGCACCGUGCCAGCAAGUUCAGUGAGCUGGGUAACAAGGCUGUUGAGGGAUGGAGCCGAGGUGGCAGCAGAGCCGACAGGGCUGAGCCCAUCCUGCUCGGGCUUCUCGCUGCAGACUCAGCCGGCUGCCGUGGGGCUUGAAUGAACGACCCAGGGUCUGUGACGCGCUGCCCUCCACGGGGCCGACAGCCGCACCCCAACAGCCCGCCACUCCCCUUGUUCUCUUCUUGAGCGGGAGGCCGGGGGGACUCUGCUGCUCUCUGGCUGGGAUUCCUGGGUGGUAAACUCCGGCAGACUGCCCUCGUGGUCCUGAGUGCCGACAGCGGGCCAUCCCAGCAGGAGUUACCUGACCCAGCUGACGGGCACCCACUGGGCAUCCGUGCCCAGCCUCUCGAGCAGUGCCCGGAGCUGCAGGCAGGCGCCCUGCAGGUCCUCCCGCACCAGCACGGCGUCCACCAGGUGCCCGUAGUGCUGCUCCACGUAGGCGGCAGAGGCGGCCAUGUCCUGCUGCUCCUCAUCCUGCAGGGACAGCCGGGGUGAGGGGAGCGGCUGGGGUUUGUGUGUGUGCAUGUG